rnacentral:rRNA from 1 species
UAUUGCCCAAUGGACGAAAGUCUGACGCAGCGACCCCGCGUGGGGGAUGAAGGUUUUCGGAUUGUAAACCCCUUUCGGCAGGGAAGAUGGAUCGGGUAACCGUUCGGACGGUACCUGCAGAAGCAGCCACGGCUAACUUCGUGCCAGCAGCCGCGGUAAUACGAAGGUGGCAAGCGUUGUUCGGAUUCACUGGGCGUACAGGGAGCGUAGGCGGUUGGGUAAGCCCUCCGUGAAAUCUCCGGGCCUAACCCGGAAAGUGCAGAGGGGACUGCUCGGCUAGAGGAUGGGAGAGGAGCGCGGAAUUCCCGGUGUAGCGGUGAAAUGCGUAGAGAUCGGGAGGAAGGCCGGGGCGAAGGCGGCGCUCUGAACAUUCUGACGCUCAGGCCGAA